GUGUACUUAUAUAUAUAUUUCGGACAAAUGCAUGAUAUUUUUUUUCAUUACUAGCAGCUGCAGUUUUCAGGAGAUCCUGCUCUGUCUGGCUCUAAUUGUGGAGACAAAAAACCCACAUGACUUUUACUCAAUGGACCUCAAUCUAGAGAAGCACUAUGACAUUUGCAAAUUAUUUCUUAAUCGGACUAAGCUACCGAGGAGUGCAGGGAGAGGAGGUAGUGUUCUGGAAAUGGAGGAACAGCUCGGAUGUUAGCUGGCAUAGUCUUCCCAGCAGUUUGCUUUCCCCCAAAAGGCGCACUGGUGUAACUGUCAAACGCAAAAUAAAGCAGAACUGGCAGCUUCACGGUCCCUUCUGUCCUUGGAUGAAUGGCCCAGCAUUGCUGUUUUUGCUCUUGUGUCUACUCAGGAUCAUCUGUGACAAGAAUAGUCAACUAAGAAGAAACAGGAGGCAAUGGGAUACUCUGGGCCACAAGUAAAAACCACCUUCCACGGUAAGAAAAAUUCUGUGUUUUGAUCUUGAAUUUCAUAAGCCCCAAACUUUGGUCGUUGAGUUUUAACUGGGUGAACGAGGGCCCGGGUUCUUUCCAUCUUUCUUUCCUGCCAUCUUCAGGGUGUUAAGUGGUCCUCAGGCCAGUUCUCACAGCUGCUCUACCAUGGGUGUAAAAUUCUGACAUGACCGGGCUCACAAGACAGUGUCCAAGGGUGGGAGAGGACAUACUUUUCUACGUGUCCCAUUUCAUGAGCAAAGAAAUGCUUGUGUUUCCUGGGCUGGAAUGGGUCAUGGGUUGUAUGUCUAACCCUUCUCUGCCAGGAGCAGAGAGCAUGACAAGCUGGUGCUCUUUGGGGACGGAGACCCUUUCCCUCCAAGCAUGUGAUCACAGGGAAGAGGGGGGAGACUUGAGGAAGACCAAGAUCUCAUUAAAAAGGAAGAAACUUGUGUGUGGGAAUGGCUUUUGGGGAGACAAAUAACAGCAUCUGUUACAGAGAGAGAAACCACGGGUGGAUGUACAUAUCAACUCUCCCACUUUUUCAGAGUUGGGCUGGAAUCAAGACCUUGUGGGACCUCAGGGACACCACCUUGUAUGUAUCAUGAGGCCUUUGAUAGCCAGUGGUCCCCACCCCCAAUGCAGCCUCUGUUUGCUUUCUCAUGCUCUGCUGCCUCCUUCCAGGGCCACCCUCUGCACUCUGGGCUACUGCUUAGUAAAGGAUGUGACCUUGGUGAGCAGGACAGGGCUCCACAUUGCCCUUCCUUCAGCAGGAGGGCACCAGAAGUGGGUUCAACAAUCCUUUCUCCUUCUCUCUCUCUCUAGAUUGCUGUGGAGGUGAUGCUGCCAACCUGAACGUGUCUAUCUGGCACCAGCUCCCUGAGCGAGUGGAAUUAAGAGAACCAGGAAGGAGACAUGGGAGGUGCCCGAGGCAGCUCCUGCAUCCGCAGGAGGAGCGGAGAAGGGAGCAAGGUGGCCUUGUGCACCUGAC
rnacentral:lncRNA from 12 species